UUUGGUCCAAGGAGUAGCACGUGGAUCUUUAAUUUUCAUGAUAAUUAGGCUUAAGAGGUGGAUUUUAAUCAAUUAAAUAUUGAGACAAUUAAUGGAAAUGAGCAGAACGACUUGCUUCAACAUUGUUGCUGUAUACAUAUAUUACAUUGAAGGAAAAAAAACGUACCAGCAAACAAAAGAAAGGGUUCUCACCUUGUUUCCUCAAUUCAACAACGUUUUCUUUUUGGAAUUUUAAGAAGUGUUCAGUUCUUGCUCAAAAACAAAAUAUAGAAGGUGAAGAGGAGCAAAAAUUGUUUUGGCAAGCUCAAGUAAUUUAUAAGUUCAUCAAGUAAGACCUGCGAGCUCGAGAAGUAGACGUUGGACAUUAGAUAGAGUUCAAGGUAAACAGGGAGGUGAGCUUGAUCCAGAUUCUUAGUAGCUGUCAGCUGAUUGAGAACACUCCAUUGUUCGGAGGUGCUUAUGUUUAUUCUUUUGGUUCCUUUAUGUAUUUCGCGCACGACGGAGUCCUGUUCCGUCUAUAUGUAUAAUAUGUCAGUAGAGGCUCGUAGACACGCAGUGCGGGUUAGAUGGUCUCACAAGAUUACUAUAUUAUAUUUGUAUAUGUUGUUUUGAUGGCCUAAUGGGCACAUGCAUAUAAAAUCAUUUGUGUUG